rnacentral:rRNA from 1 species
AGUGAACGCUGGCGGUAGGCCUAACACAUGCCAGUCGAACGGCAGCACAGUAAGAGCUUGCUCUUACGGGUGGCGAGUGGCGGACGGGUGAGGAAUACAUCGGAAUCUACUUUUUCGUGGGGGAUAACGUAGGGAAACUUACGCUAAUACCGCAUACGACCUACGGGUGAAAGCAGGGGAUCUUCGGACCUUGCGCGAUUGAAUGAGCCGAUGUCGGAUUAGCUAGUUGGCGGGGUAAAGGCCCACCAAGGCGACGAUCCGUAGCUGGUCUGAGAGGAUGAUCAGCCACACUGGAACUGAGACACGGUCCAGACUCCUACGGGAGGCAGCAGUGGGGAAUAUUGGACAAUGGGCGCAAGCCUGAUCCAGCCAUACCGCGUGGGUGAAGAAGGCCUUCGGGUUGUAAAGCCCUUUUGUUGGGAAAGAUAAGCAGCAGGUUAAUACCCCGCUGUUCUGACGGUACCCAAAGAAUAAGCACCGGCUAACUUCGUG